GAUCAUGGCUCAGAUUGAACGCUGGCGGCAGGCCUAACACAUGCAAGUCGAACGGUAGCACAGGAGAGCUUGCUCUCUGGGUGACGAGUGGCGGACGGGUGAGUAACACGUGAGUAACCUGCCCCGAACUCUGGGAUAACUGCUGGAAACGGUAGCUAAUACCGGAUAUGACCAAUGAAGGCAUCUUCUGUUGGUGGAAAGAAUUUCGGUUCGGGAUGGACUCGCGGCCUAUCAGCUUGUUGGUGAGGUAACGGCUCACCAAGGCGACGACGGGUAGCCGGCCUGAGAGGGUGAUCGGCCACACUGGGACUGAGACACGGCCCAGACUCCUACGGGAGGCAGCAGUGGGGAAUAUUGCACAAUGGGCGCAAGCCUGAUGCAGCAACGCCGCGUGAGGGACGACGGCCUUCGGGUUGUAAACCUCUUUUAGUAGGGAAGAAGCGAAAGUGACGGUACCUGCAGAAAAAGCACCGGCUAACUACGUG
rnacentral:rRNA from 1 species